UACGUAGGGACCGAGCGUUGUCCGGAUUCAUUGGGCGUAAAGAGCUCGUAGGCGGCUGUUCAAGUCGAACGUGAAAACUCGGAGCUCAACUCCGAGCCUGCGUUCGAUACUGGACGGCUAGAGUCUGGUAGGGGGAUCGUGGAAUUCCUGGUUGUAGCGGUGGGAAUGCGCAGAUAUCAGGAGGAACACCGGUGGCGAAGGCGGCUCACUGGCCCGGUACUGACGCUGAGGUGCGAAAGCGUGGGGGAGCAAACAGG
rnacentral:rRNA from 1 species